GACUACCAUGUCAGUACUAAUCAAUUAGCACUAUUACAUAGGUGCUUUUAUGUACUUCGUGCAUUACUGCUAGUCCCCAUGUAUAUAUA
rfam:Chlorocebus sabaeus isolate 1994-021 chromosome 21, whole genome shotgun sequence.